rnacentral:rRNA from 1 species
CUGGCGGUAUGCUUAACACAUGCAAGCCGAACGGCAGCACAGGAUAGCUUGCUAUCCGGGUGGCGAGUGGCGGACGGGUGAGUAACGCGUAGGAAUCUACCUUUUCGUGGGGGAUAACCCGGGGAAACUCGGGCUAAUACCGCAUACGCCCUACGGGGGAAAGCGGGGGACCUUCGGGCCUCGCGCGGAAUGAUGAGCCUGCGUCCUAUCAGGUAGUUGGUGAGGUAAUGGCUCACCAAGCCGACGACGGGUAGCUGGUCUGAGAGGACGACCAGCCACACUGGGACUGAGACACGGCCCAACUCCUACGGGAGGCAGCAGUGGGGAAUAUUGGACAAUGGGGGAAACCCUGAUCCAGCAAUACCGCGUGUUUUGAAAAAAGGCCUUCCGGUUUGUAAAGCACUUU